UAUGAGGGUGUUCCCUCACCCACCCACCUACUCCCACUCCCCCUGCCUAGCAUCCCCCUACACUGGGGCAUCUAGCCUUCAAAGAGAGAAUUUUCUGUUCUUAACAUUUUAAAUCACUGUGAAAUUCAAAGUAAAAAAUAUUAACAUCUCCUAUAUAAUCACAAGUGUACCAAUUUGAAUUUUUUAAUGUUUGAGGAAAAAUCUCUGUUCUUAAAUUGGUUGAAGUGAUCAUUUGUUACUAAAUCAUGUUACUACCUGAGAGCCAGGCCCUUUGCCUGACACUAGAUGUGUCAUAUCUCAGUGACUGCACAGUUUGUCUAAUAUUAUGUGGUGGUUGCUUCUCUUGUUACGACAGAAUCUUAUGUAGGCCUUGCUGGCCUCAGUUCACUGUGUAGCUCAGGCUGUACCACCACUCUCUGCAGCACAGAGCAGCACAACUGUAUUUUUUUUUUUUUUUUUUUUAGAUGAUGGCCUUUAAUCCCAGGAUUUGGGAGGCAGAGGCAGGCGGAUUUCUGAGUUCGAGGCCAGCCUGGUCUACAAAGUGAGUUCUAGGACAGCCAGGGCUACACAGAAAAACCCUGUCUCGGAAAAAAAAAAAAGAUAUAGUCUCACCAUGUAGCUCUGGCUGGCCUGGCACUUGUCUCUGCAUUCCGAGUACUGGAAUAAAAGGCAUGUGUCACCACUAUUGCAAGCCUCACAAAUACGAUGUAAAUUAGUCCUCAUAACUGCCCUGUAAGAGCAGGAAACAGGGCACAGAUGCUAAAUGUGUUUGUUGGCUCAUGUAUUCAUCUAGUCCAUUAUUAAUGAAUACUUAAGUUGAAUGCCUACUGUGUGCCAUCCCAUCUAUUAUUAACAAGGAACCUAGAGAGGACAGGGACUCUAAAAGAAGACCAACAGAGUCAAUUAACCUGGAUCCUUGGGGACCCCAGAGACUGAGCCACCAGCCAAAGAGCAUACAAGGGCCAGUCCUAGGCCCUCGGCACAUAUGUAGCAGAUGUUCACCUUGGUAGUCAUGUGGGUCCCCCAACAACUGACUUGGCUUACCCUGACUCUAUUGCCUGCCCGUGGAUCUGUUCCCCUAACUGGACUGGCCACCUUGUCUGGCCUCAGUGGGAGAGGAUGUACUUGAGGUGCCAAGAUUGUUUGUACCGGGGGAGCAGGGGUCCCUCUUCUCAGAGAUGAAGGAGAGAGAAGAUGGGGGAGGGACGAGUGAGGGGGGCCUCGGAGGAGGGCUGUGAUCAGGGUGCGAAGUAAAUGAAUAAGUAAACU
rnacentral:lncRNA from 1 species